AAAGAGAUAGCCAAAUGGUUAAGGCACUGGAUUUUGAAUCCAGCAUUUGAAGGUUCAAAUCCUUCUCUCUUUA
rfam:Candidatus Nasuia deltocephalinicola str. NAS-ALF, complete genome.